AGUGAACGCUGGCGGUAGGCCUAACACAUGCAAGUCGAACGGCAGCACAGUAAGAGCUUGCUCUUACGGGUGGCGAGUGGCGGACGGGUGAGGAAUACAUCGGAAUCUACUUUUUCGUGGGGGAUAACGUAGGGAAACUUACGCUAAUACCGCAUACGACCUACGGGUGAAAGCAGGGGAUCUUCGGACCUUGCGCGAUUGAAUGAGCCGAUGUCGGAUUAGCUAGUUGGCGGGGUAAAGGCCCACCAAGGCGACGAUCCGUAGCUAGUCUGAGAGGAUGAUCAGCCACACUGGAACUGAGACACGGUCCAGACUCCUACGGGAGGCAGCAGUGGGGAAUAUUGGACAAUGGGCGCAAGCCUGAUCCAGCCAUACCGCGUGGGUGAAGAAGGCCUUCGGGUUGUAAAGCCCUUUUGUUGGGAAAGAAAAGCAGCAGGUUAAUACCCCGCUGUUCUGACGGAACCCAAAGAAUAAGCACCGGCUAACUUCGUG
rnacentral:rRNA from 1 species